AGUCAUAUGCUUGUCUCAAAGAUUAAGCCAUGCAUGUCUAAGUAUAAGCAAUUAUACGGCGAAACUGCGAAUGGCUCAUUAUAUAAGUUAUCGUUUAUUUGAUAGCACCUUUUUACUCGGAUAACUGUGGUAAUUCUAGAGCUAAUACGUGCUGAAAAUCCCGACUUCGGAAGGGCUGUAUUUAUUAGAUUCAAAACCAAUGCCCUUCGGGGCUUCAUGGUGAUUCAUAAUAACUGCUCGAAUCGCAUGGCCUUGCGCCGGCGAUGGUUCAUUCAAAUUUCUUCCCUAUCAACUUUCGAUGCGAGGGUCUUGUCCUCGCAUGGUUACAACGGGUAACGGAGGGUUAGGGCUCGACCCCGGAGAAGGAGCCUGAGAAACGGCUACUACAUCCAAGGAAGGCAGCAGGCGCGCAAAUUACCCAAUCCCGACACGGGGAGGUAGUGACAAUAAAUACUGAUACAGGGCUCUUUUGGGUCUUGUAAUCGGAAUGAGUACUAUUUAAAUCCCAUAACGAGGAACAAUUGGAGGGCAAGUCUGGUGCCAGCAGCCGCGGUAAUUCCAGCUCCAAUAGCGUAUAUUAAAGUUGUUGUGGUUAAAAAGCUCGUAGUUGAACCUUGGGCCUGGCCUGUCAGUCCCCCUCACCGGGUGCACUGAUCUGGCCGGGUCUUUCCCUCCGCGGAACCCCAUGGCCUUCACUGGUCGUGGCGGGGAAACGGGACUUUUACUUUGAAAAAAUUAGAGUGCUCCAGGCAGGCCUAUGCUCGAAUACAUUAGCAUGGAAUAAUAAAAUAGGACGCGUGGUUCUAUUUUGUUGGUUUCUAGGACCGCCGUAAUGAUUAAUAGGGACAGUCGGGGGCAUCAGUAUUCAAUUGUCAGAGGUGAAAUUCUUGGAUCUAUUGAAGACUAACUACUGCGAAAGCAUUUGCCAAGGAUGUUUUCAUUGAUAAGGAACGAAAGUUAGGGGAUCGAAGACGAUCAGAUACCGUCGUAGUCUUAACUAUAAACUAUGCCGACUAGGGAUCGGACGAUGUUGUUUUUUGACUCGUUCGGCACCUUUCGAGAAAUCAAAGUGCUUGGGCUCCAGGGGGAGUAUGGUCGCAAGGCUGAAACUUAAAGAAAUUGACGGAAGGGCACCACCAGGGGUGGAACCUGCGGCUUAAUUUGACUCAACACGGGGAAACUCACCAGGUCCAGACACAGUGAGGAUUGACAGAUUGAUAGCUCUUUCUUGAUUCUGUGGGUGGUGGUGCAUGGCCGUUCUUAGUUGGUGGAGUGAUUUGUCUGCUUAAUUGCGAUAACGAACGAGACCUUAACCUGCUAAAUAGCCCAAUCUGCUCCGGCAGUUUGCUGGCUUCUUAGAGGGACUAUCGGCUCAAGCCGAUGGAAGUUUGAGGCAAUAACAGGUUAACACACAGGCCUGUAAUAAGCGGGCUCGACCCGCUAGUCCAGCAUCUUAUCUCCCCAGGGGUAGCCCCCUAAAUGUCGGGGGGAGAGGUCCUUCGGGGCUCGAUGCGGGCUACACUACCUGGUACAGGGAACGCCGGGACCUCGCUCGCAGCGUGGUCUGGCCGAUCCUGUGGCGAGCUCGAGUCGCGUCGAGCCGUCGCAACGCGCGGAAAGGAGUGGGUGGUAGGUCCUUCCUUUGGAAGGGCCUCCGCUUAAGGUACGUGCUAAUCCGCCGGGAAACCGGUCCUGUAGGUCAAGGCCCGACAAAGUCGAAGCCUACAGGGGGCAGUGAUGCCUGGUCAGUUACAGCAUCGCGAGGGCUCGCUUGGGGUUGGAAAAGCAUUAAGCAGUCUAUUUUCAGCUGCUGUCAGUGCCGACUGUACCUCCAUCGCGAGCCUUCCUGCUGGACUGAAUUGCUGUGAUGCCCUUAGAUGUCCUGGGCCGCACGCGCGUUACACUGACAAAGCCAGCGAGUAUUUCCUUGACCGGAAGGUCCGGGUAAUCUUGUUAAACUUUGUCGUGCUGGGGAUAGAGCAUUGCAAUUAUUGCUCUUCAACGAGGAAUCCCUAGUAAGCGCAAGUCAUCAGCUUGCGUUGAUUACGUCCCUGCCCUUUGUACACACCGCCCGUCGCUACUACCGAUUGAACGGCUCAGUGAGGUUUUCGGACUGGCCCAGGGAGGCGGGCAACUGCCACCCCGGGCCGGAAAGUUGCCCAAACUCGGUCGUUUAGAGGAAGUAAAAGUCGUAAUCCGUAG
rnacentral:rRNA from 1 species